rfam:Trachymyrmex cornetzi contig52412, whole genome shotgun sequence.
CAAUCGGCCCUUUUCAGGGCCAUCACAAAGCUACACAAUCAGCCCUU